UGCCUGUGAUGAGUAACCAUGCUAAUGCCGAUUCACCACACUGGGCCACUGUGUCAAGUUGUGGGUGAGUAUGAGUUUAAAUCUACUUUCCAUGGUGAAACCUGAGGCUG